ACAGGUGCGGGAAAGGCUGCCUUCGUCGGGAUGCCUCAGCAUGU
rnacentral:ribozyme from 1 species